AACGAACGCUGGCGGCAUGCCUAACACAUGCAAGUCGAACGAGACCUUCGGGUCUAGUGGCGCACGGGUGCGUAACGCGUGGGAACCUGCCCUUAGGUUCGGAAUAACUCCCCGAAAGGGGUGCUAAUACCGGAUAAUGUCUUCGGACCAAAGAUUUAUCGCCUUUGGAUGGGCCCGCGUUGGAUUAGCUAGUUGGUAGGGUAAAAGCCUACCAAGGCGACGAUCCAUAGCUGGUCUGAGAGGAUGAUCAGCCACACUGGGACUGAGACACGGCCCAGACUCCUACGGUAGGCAGCAGUGGGGAAUAUUGGACAAUGGGCGAAAGCCUGAUCCAGCAAUGCCGCGUGAGUGAUGAAGGCCUUAGGGUUGUAAAGCUCUUUUACCCGGGAUGAUAAUGACAGUACCGGGAGAAUAAGCUCCGGCUAACUCCAUG
rnacentral:rRNA from 1 species